UACGGAGGGUGCAAACGUUGCUCGGAAUCAUUGGGCGUAAAGCGCACGUAGGCGGCCUGUUAAGUCGGGUGUGAAAGCCCUGGGCUCAACCCAGGAAGUGCACUCGAAACUGGCGGGCUUGAAUAUGGAAGAGGGUCGCGGAAUUCCCGGUGUAGUGGUGAAAUGCGUAGAUAUCAAGUGGAACACCAGUGGCGAAGGCGAGUCUCUGGACAUUUCCUGACGCUGAGGCACGAAAGCCAGGGGAGCAAACGGG
rnacentral:rRNA from 1 species